rnacentral:tRNA from 1 species
GAGAGGUGGUCGAGUUGGUUUAAGGCACCAGUCUUGAAAAUUGGCAUAGGCGUGAGUCUAUCGUGGGUUCGAAUCCCACCCUCUCC